rnacentral:lncRNA from 1 species
UGCCCCCUUACUGAAGAAGAUAAGAAUCCAUAUGUGUUAUGCAAAAUUAACUUUGUCAUCUUGUAAGUGCUCUAGGCAGUGUCGAGAGGGUGAAAAAUAUGAGAACAAAAAAGAAUUACUUGAUUAAUUUACAACAUCCAUCCUUUACUCCGUCCGUGUCAUCGUUGUUUACCCCUGGGAGUAUUUUUAACUUGAAAAUCUCUAGUGAACUGCCAUUUGCAGUACAUUUGCUUUCCUUGUUAAUUUUUUGGGUUACUCCAUCUUGCUCUAUUAAGUAAAAUUUGAUAUGUGGAGUAGCAGCAGUAAGCUAGACCAUCCGUCAAUAGACUACACCACGGAGGUCACCCUCAUAUGGAUAAUGAAUCAUUAUCCCGUUCUUGUAUACCUGAGAUGUUCCUAAUGAAUAAUUUACUAGACAAACAAUCUUGUUUGCCGUAAGAAUUCUGGCAUGCCAAAAUCUGCUGUCUAUGUAUGAUUCGGUUAAUAUGGACCUGAAUGGCAAGGGCUAGCCAACCUACUUAACUAGAUUAACAUAACAGGAACAGUACACAACCGGCUAGCUCGUGUUUGCAUUGGCUGCCACAUCGGCUAGCUAGAUGCGACUGCUUAAGGGCUAGUCAACAAAUUUUACAGCAUUCUAUGUUGUAGCCAAACACUUGCUCUGUAUUUUAUAUUAAAACCAUGGUAUUGUGUACCUGCCAACUACGAGUAAAUUAUUGCAGUUUUUAAUACUUUGGUUUUUUGAUACUAUGCUGUUCGAUUUACUUUUAUUUUGUCCCUAAACAUUUUGUUCUACAAUGUGCAGAUGCUGGCAUUUCAUUCAGGACAAAGAAGUUGGAUGAAGCAUAGUUUUACCUCAUUGAGCUAGUUCUGGGAGUAAUGAACUCCUUGUAGCAGAACUUGUACGUGUGCUAGUUCUGGGAGCUGAUCCUAUUUGUGUGUUAUAUGAUGUAGCAGAACUUGUAGGGCUCCUGUGAUAGACUUGGGCUGAUACACUUGGGCUG